GACAGAGGGUGCAAACGUUGUUCGGAAUUACUGGGCGUAAAGCGCGUGUAGGCGGCUCGGCAAGUCGGGUGUGAAAGCCCUGGGCUUAACCUAGGAAGUGCACUCGAAAACUGCCAAGCUUGAGUUUCUGGAGAGGAAGGCGGAAUUCUCGGUGUAGAGGUGAAAUUCGUAGAUAUCGAGAGGAACACCGGUGGCGAAGGCGGCCUUCUGGACAGCAACUGACGCUGAGACGCGAAAGCGUGGGGAGCAAACAGG
rnacentral:rRNA from 1 species